CGAGUUUCGUGAUGUCGAAUAAAAGUUUGAUAAUCUAAUUCGUUGUUACUGAAACUCGUC
rnacentral:pre_miRNA from 1 species